AGGACAGGUGGUGCAUGGUUGUCGUCAGCUCGUGUCGCGAGAUGUGGGUUAAGUCCCGCAACGAGCGCAACCCUAUUGCUAGUUACCAUCAUUAAGUUGGGGACUCUAGCGAGACUGCCAGUGAUAAACUGGAGGAAGGUGGGGAUGACGUCAAAUCAUCAUGCCCCUUAUGACCUGGGCUACAAACGUGAUACAAUGGCUGGAACAAAGGGAUGCGAAGCAGUGAUGUGGAGCGAAACCCAUAAAAACAGUCUCAGUUCGGAUUGAAGUCUGCAACUCGACUUCAUGAAGUCGGAAUCGCUAGUAAUCGCGGAUCAGAACGCCGCGGUGAAUACGUUCUCGGGGUUU
rnacentral:rRNA from 1 species